ACUGCGGAGGAUCAUUAUCGAGUUUUGAACGGGUUGUAGCUGGCCUCAUACUGUGGCAUGUGCACGCCUGUCUUCAUCCACUCUUCAACCUCUGUGCACUUAUUGUAGGCUGGUGAAGGGUCGCAUAGUAAUGUGCGGCUUGAAGCCUGGUCUACGUUUUACUACAAACGCUUCAGUUAUAGAAUGUCUAUCUGCGUAUAACGCAUUUAAUAUACAACUUUCAGCAACGGAUCUCUUGGCUCUCGCAUCGAUGAAGAACGCAGCGAAAUGCGAUAAGUAAUGUGAAUUGCAGAAUUCAGUGAAUCAUCGAAUCUUUGAACGCACCUUGCGCUCCCUGGUAUUCCGGGGAGCAUGCCUGUUUGAGUGUCAUGGAAUUCUCAACUUCUAAUACUUUUUUGUAUCAGAAGCUUGGAUUUGGAGGCUCGUGCUGGCUCUCUCGUUAGAGUCGGCUCCUCUUAAAUGAAUUAGCGUGAAUCACUAUGGAUCGCUUCGGUGUGAUAAUUAUCUGCGCCGUAGUCGUGAAGUAUUAAUAAAAGUUCUCGCUUCUAAUCGUCCUUCACGGGACAAUUAACCCUGACUUUUUGACCUCAAAUCAGGUAGGACUACCCGCUGAACUUAAGCAUAUCAAUAAGCGGAGGAAAAGAAACUAACAAGGAUUCCCCUAGUAACUGCGAGUGAAGCGGGAAAAGCUCAAAUUUAAAAUCUGGUAGCCUUCGGUUGCCCGAGUUGUAGUCUGGAGAAGCGUCUUCCGCGCUGGACCGUGUACAAGUCUCUUGGAACAGAGCGUCAUAGAGGGUGAGAAUCCCGUCUUUGACACGGACUACCAGUGCUUUGUGAUGCGCUCUCAAAGAGUCGAGUUGUUUGGGAAUGCAGCUCAAAAUGGGUGGUAAAUUCCAUCUAAAGCUAAAUAUUGGCGAGAGACCGAUAGCGAACAAGUACCGUGAGA
rnacentral:rRNA from 1 species